AGGAUAUGAUGAAUGGUUAUCAAUAUCUGCAGAACUCUGUGGUGGAUAUGUGGAAGGCAAUCCAGUGAUCGACCAAUAUCCAGACCACAAUAAUAGAGUCAGCUGUGUGGCAACUAAAGGUGGGGAAGUUGGUCACUGUGAGAAAUAAGUUAGGUACUAUCAGCAACUAAGUAAGGGAGUUUAGAUGUACUUU